CUGAUGUAAACUUGUUCCUGACAAGUGUGGCUCUCUACUGUUCGAAUUGUCUCCUAAUCAUUGUCAUCAUCUUCCUGUGUGUCAAAGUCAUUAAACAUCGUAAAGUUAACACUCAGGAUGGAAACUCACGUCAAAAUGAGGACCCUGGCUCUCACGAGCUGACCUACGCCUCGGUCAGCUUCGAGAAAGGUGGAAAGAGAAGGAGAGAGGUGGAGCCAGACGUCGUGUACGCCGCCACCAGAUAGAGAAGAACUGCAGCACAGAGAAACUGAUGUGAAACUGAACUGUCAAUAAAUAGCAGAGAGACCAACAUC